UACGGGGGGGGCAAGCGUUGUUCGGAAUUACUGGGCGUAAAGGGCUCGUAGGCGGCCAACUAAGUCAUACGUGAAAUCCCUCGGCUUAACCGGGGAACUGCGUCUGAUACUGGAUGGCUUGAGUUCGGGAGAGGGAUGCGGAAUUCCAGGUGUAGCGGUGAAAUGCGUAGAUAUCUGGAGGAACACCGGUGGCGAAGGCGGCAUCCUGGACCGACACUGACGCUGAGGAGCGAAAGCCAGGGGAGCAAACGGG
rnacentral:rRNA from 1 species